UACGGAGGGUGCGAGCGUUGUUCGGAAUCAUUGGGCGUAAAGCGCGCGCAGGCGGUCUGGGAAGUCUAUGGGUGAAAUGCCGGGGCUCAACUCCGUGCCCGCCCAAGAUACUCUCAGGCUAGAGACAUGUAGAGGCUGGCGGAAUUCCGGGUGUAGCGGUGGAAUGCGUAGAGAUCCGGAAGAACACCAGAGGCGAAGGCGGCCAGCUGGGCAUGAUCUGACGCUGAGGCGCGAAAGCGUGGGGAGCGAACAGGAUUAGAAACCCCCGUAGUCC
rnacentral:rRNA from 1 species